rnacentral:rRNA from 1 species
AUUGAACGCUGGCGGCAUGCUUUACACAUGCAAGUCGAACGGCAGCACGGACUUCGGUCUGGUGGCGAGUGGCGAACGGGUGAGUAAUACAUCGGAACGUGCCCAGUUGUGGGGGAUAACUACUCGAAAGAGUAGCUAAUACCGCAUGAGAACUGAGGUUGAAAGCAGGGGAUCGUAAGACCUUGCGCAAUUGAAGCGGCCGAUGGCAGAUUAGGUAGUUGGUGGGAUAAAAGCUUACCAAGCCGACGAUCUGUAGCUGGUCUGAGAGGACGACCAGCCACACUGGGGCUGAGACACGGCCCAGACUCCUACGGGAGGCAGCAGUGGGGAAUUUUGGACAAUGGGCGAAAGCCUGAUCCAGCAAUGCCGCGUGCAGGAUGAAGGCCUUCGGGUUGUAAACUGCUUUUGUACGGAACGAAAAGCUUCGGGCUAAUACCCUGGAGUCAUGACGGUACCGUAAGAAUAAGCACCGGCUAACUACGUGCCAGCAGCCGCCGUAAAAC